CCUUCGGGUGGCAGCAGUGGGGAAUAUUGCACAAUGAGGGAAAGCUUGAUGCAGCAACGCCGCGUGAACGAAGAAGUAUUUCGGAAUGUAAAGAUCUAUCAUCAGGGAAGAAGAAAGACGGUACCUGACGAAGAAACCCCGGCUAAAUACGGGCCAGCAGCCGCGGUAAUACGUAGGUGAGAAGCGUGAUCCGGAUUUACUGGGUGUAAAGGAAUCGUGAACGGCUGUGCAAGUCUGAAGUGAAAGCCCGUGGAUUAAGCGCGGAACUGCUUUGGAUACUGUAUAGCUUGAGUAUUGGAGAGGCAGGCGGAAGUCCUAGUGGAGCGGUGAAAUGCGUAGAUAUUAGGAGGAACACCAGUGGCGAAGGCGGCCUGCUGGACAGAAACUGACGUUGAGGCUCGAAAGCGUGGGGAGCAAACAGGAUUAGAUACCCGUGUAGUC
rnacentral:rRNA from 1 species